rnacentral:rRNA from 1 species
AAAUUAAAAUUAUUAAUAUAAUUUUUUGUUUUUGAUUUUUUAUAAAAGUAAUUUAUUUGUUUAUAGUUUUAGUAUUUAGUAAAAAUUAAUUUAUAGAUUUAUAGUUUAAUAGUAUUGUGAAAGAAUUAAUUAAAUUUAAAAAAGAAUAUUUUAGUACCUUUUGUAUCAGGGUUGAUUAAAAUUUUUAAUUUUUUUUUAAAUUCUCAAAAUUUAUAGAGUUAAUUUUAUUAUUAAUUUAUUGUUUUAUAAAUAUUUAGAAAAUAAUAUUAGUUUUGAAAUUUAAUUCGUUAUAUUAUAUUUAGUUAUUUAAGAUUUAAAUUUAAUUUAAAAUUUUAAAAGUUAUAUUGAUUUUAUAUAUUAAUAUUUUAAAUUUAAAUUAUUUUAGGGAUAAGCUUAGAAUUUUUAUAUAAUAAUUUAUUUAUUUUAAUAAUUUAUAGGAAUAGAAAUUUUUAUUUUAAGUUUGUAAAAAUUUAUUAUUUAUUAAUUUUUAAUUUAUUAUAAAUUUAUUUAUUUUUUAUAUUAAAUUUUAUUAAUUAAUAUUUAAUUUUUAGUAAUAAUGAUUAAAUUAGUAUAGUUUAUAUUUAUAAAUUAUGAAUUCGGCAAAAAUUAUUUUCAUCUGUUUAACAAAAACAUUGUAUUAAGUUUAAUUUAAUAUAGGAUCUGCUCAAUGAUUUAUUAAAUAGCUGCAGUAUUUUGACUGUGCAAAGGUAGCAUAAUAAUUAGUCUUUUAAUUGAGGACUUGUAUGAAAGAUUUGAUGAGAAAUAAACUUUAUUAUUUAUAUAAUUAAAAUUUUAUUUUUAAGUAAAAAAGCUUAAAUUAUUUAAAGGGACGAUAAGACCCUAUAAAACUUUAUAAAUAUUAAUUUUAAUUUUUUUGGAUUUAUAAAUAUUUUAAUUUUAAUAUUUAUUUUAUUGGGGUGAUAAAAAAAAUUAUUAAACUUUUUUUAAAAUUUUACAUUAGUUAAUGAAUUAUUGAAUUAAAAUUUUUAGUUAAAGGAAAAAGUUACUUUAGGGAUAACAGCGUAAUUAAUUUUUUAAGUUCAAAUUUAAAAAUUAGUUUGCGACCUCGAUGUUGAAUUAAGAUUAAUCUUAGGUGCAAAAUUUUAAGUAUUAGGUCUGUUCGACCUUUAAAUUCUUACAUGAUUUGAGUUCAAACCGGUGUAAGCCAGGUUGGUUUCUAUCUUUUAAAAAAUGGAUUAUUUUAGUACGAAAGGAUUAAAUAAUUGAAUUAAAUUUUUAUUAAAUGAAUUAAAUUAA